AAAGAUGGAUGCAAGAAAAUACAUAGCAAUUUCCAUUUCUUAGAGAUCAGAAGAUGUAUAUAUAAUAUAAAUGCCUCCACAUGAAUUAGAAGCAGCAGACGCAGUAGUAAUCUAUCGUAAGUUAAGUUUUAAUCUCCAUCCAUCCUUCCUACCUUCCUUAGCUUGUGUCUUUACCGGCAGGUGUUUCCACCAUGGAAUCUACUUCUGAAACUAAUCAACUGCUCAUUCACUCAUCUUCGUCUUUAUUUCCGCACUGCUACCACUACGAUGUCUUUUUGAGGUGAAGACACCCGAAAGUCCUUUACGGAUCAUCUCUUUGCAGCGUUAUGCCGAGUAGGAGUUUAUGCCUUCAGAGAUGCAGAAGAGCUCCGUAAAGGAGUGGACAUCUCCACUGACCUCAUCAAAGCAAUUCAGGAGUCAAUGAUUUCUAUUAUCGUGUUCUCAAAAACUUAUGCCUCCUCCCGAUGGUGUCUUGAGGAGCUUGUGAAGAUAGUGGAAUGUAAAGAAAAGGCAAAUCAGGUAAUCCUCCCUGUAUUCUAUGAUGUUGAUCCUUCUAAAGUGCGCAAACAAACCGGUGGGUUUGGUAAAGCCUUAGCUCAACAUCAACAACGAUUUGGGACCAAAAGAGUUAGUCAAUGGAAAACAGCUCUGACUAAGGUUGCAAAUUUUUCUGGCUGGGAUUUACAGAAUGAUGCUGACGGGUAUGAAUCAAAACUUAUUGACAAAAUUGUAGAAAAGGUUCUACAAGUGGUGAACCAGACAUUUUUUAAUGUUGCAAAAUAUCCUGUUGGAAUUCAUACCCGGGCUCACAUUUUCGAGCAAGAUCGUCCAUUCAAGAAUGGAGCAAUGACUUUGAGAAGUUAAGAAGGAUUCCUCAUAAUGAUAUUUUGAAGAUUGUCAAUUAUGACGCACUUGAUGAUGAUACUCAACAAAUCUUCCUUGAUAUUGCUUGUUUUUUUUAGGGUGGAUAUUUCCCCAAAGAAGAGAUUGUUACGAUAUUGAAUGCUUGUGGUUUCUUUGCUCAAAGUGGAAUUACAACUUUAAUUGAUAGAUGUUUGUUAGGGGGAAUAGAUUAUUAUUAUUAUAUGCAUGUUUUAGUUCGAGAUAUAGGAAGAGAAAUUGUUCGCCAAGAAUCUCUUAUACUCCUUGAAAAAAGAAGUAGGUUGUUUUCAUGCGAUGAGGUUUUGGAUGUACUCGUGGACAACAAGGGCAAUGAAGCAAUUGAAACAAUGAUUAUUAAUUUGCCAAAGGAAGUGCAUUUGAGUACUAAAGUAUUCUCUAAAAUGAGCAGGUUAAGAUUACUCAGAAUCUUAUCCAUGAAUGCCAAUGGACCAUUAAAAUACUUACCCAAGGAGCUUAGGCUGCUUGUUUGGAAUAAUUGUCCAUUGAAAUACAUACCGUCUGAUCUUUGCUUGAAGAAGCUUGUUAUUUUAGAAAUAACAAACAGCAAUAUUUAGGAAUUUAAACCCAGUUUACAGGUUUGAAGUUUAUAUGAGAUUUUUUGUUUUUUUUUUUUGACAUUACAUCUUUUUAAAAAAGUUAUUAUAAUUUAUUUCGACAAAAUGAUUGGGAAAAGCUUAUUACAACCUUUUAUAUUUUGAUUUAACAGCAUUUUAGAUGCUUGGAGAUCUUAAGGUUUGAUGGUUGCAAGCAACUUAAAGGAUCCCCAAACUUUACU